UACGUAGGGGGCGAGCGUUGCCCGAAUUUACUGGGCGUAAAGCGCACGUAGGCGGCUUCGUAAGUCUGGUGUGAAAUCUCACGGCUAAACCGAGAGACUGCACCAGAUACUGCGAAGCUCGAGGACGGGAGAGGAGAUUGGAAUUCCCGGUGUAGCGGUGAAAUGCAUUGAUAUCGGGAGGAACACCAGUGGCGAAGGCGGAUCUCUGGCCCGUUGCUGACGCUGAGGUGAGAAAGCUGGGGGAGCGAAAGGG
rnacentral:rRNA from 1 species